rnacentral:rRNA from 1 species
AGUGAACGCUGGCGGUAGGCCUAACACAUGCAAGUCGAACGGCAGCACAGUAAGAGCUUGCUCUUACGGGUGGCGAGUGGCGGACGGGUGAGGAAUAGAUCGGCUUCUACUUUUUCGUGGGGGACAACGUAGGGCAACUGCCGCUACUACCGCAUACGACCUACGGGUGAAAGCAGGUGAUCUUCAGACCUUGCCCGCUUUCAUGAGCCGACGUCGGAUUAGCUAGUUGGCGGGGAAAAGGCCCACCAAGGCAACGAUCCGUAGCUGGUCUGAGUGGAUGAUCGGCACAACUGGAACUGAAAACCGGUCCAGACUCCUACGGGAGGCAGCAGUGGGGAAUAUUGGACAAGGGGCGCAAGCCUGACCCAGCAAUACGGGGUGGGUGAAGAAGGUUUUCGGGUUGUAAAGCCCUUUUGUUGGGAAAGAAAAGCAGCAGGUUAAUACCCCGAUGUUCUGACGGUACCCAAAGAAUAAGCAACGGCUAACUUCGUG